rfam:Myotis davidii contig225929, whole genome shotgun sequence.
AGGCCCUGAGAGAGAGGCAGGGUCUGAUCCGCAGCCUCUGUGGGAGCUGUUGGUCAGCUGUUGCCUCUCUCUCUCCGAGCU